rnacentral:rRNA from 1 species
UACGGAGGAUGCGAGCGUUAUCCGGAUUUAUUGGGUUUAAAGGGUGCGCAGGCGGAGGCACAAGUCAGCGGUAAAAUCGCGGGGCUCAACCCCGCUCCGCCGUUGAAACUGUGUCCCUUGAGUGCGCGAAGGGUAGGCGGAAUGCGUGGUGUAGCGGUGAAAUGCAUAGAUAUCACGCAGAACUCCGAUCGCGAAGGCAGCCUACCGGCGCGCGACUGACGCUCAUGCACGAAAGCGUGGGUAUCGAACAGG